GUGUUGAAUGAAAGGAGAGAAGGUUAGCACUCCCCUUGAGAAGGAUGGAAGAGGUAUUAGGGGUGUUCACAACACAUACACGUUUAAGGCAUUGCCCUCCACUUCAUGGUAUUCAUUUAAUCGUAUUU